UACAGAGGGUGCAAGCGUUGUUCGGAAUUAUUGGGCGUAAAGCGCGUGUAGGCGGCAUGGCAAGUCGGGUGUGAAAGCCCUCAGCUUAACUGAGGAAGUGCGCCCGAAACUGCUUUGCUUGAGUGCCGGAGAGGAUGGCGGAAUUCCCCAAGUAGAGGUGAAAUUCGUAGAUAUGGGGAGGAACACCGGUGGCGAAGGCGGCCAUCUGGACGGUAACUGACGCUGAGACGCGAAAGCGUGGGGAUCAAACAGG
rnacentral:rRNA from 1 species